AGCGGAGGAAAAGAAACCAACAGGGAUUGCCCUAGUAACGGCGAGUGAAGCGGCAACAGCUCAAAUUUGAAAUCUGGCGCAAGCCCGAGUUGUAAUUUGCAGAGGAUGCUUCUGGGCAGCGGCCGUUCUAAGUUCCUUGGAACAGGACGUCAUAGAGGGUGAGAAUCCCGUAUGUGACCGGCGCGCACCCUCCACGUAGCUCCUUCGACGAGUCGAGUUGUUUGGGAAUGCAGCUCUAAAUGGGAGGUAAAUUUCUUCUAAAGCUAAAUACCGGCCAGAGACCGAUAGCGCACAAGUAGAGUGAUCGAAAGAUGAAAAGCACUUUGGAAAGAGAGUUAAAAAGCACGUGAAAUUGUUGAAAGGGAAGCGCUUACAACCAGACUCCGCGGCGGUGUUCCGCCGGUCUUCUGACCGGUCCACUCGCCGCCGCGGGGCCAACAUCGUCUGGGGCCGCCGGAUAAGAACGCGGGAAUGUGGCUCCCUCGGGAGUGUUAUAGCUCGCGGUGAUACGGCGCGUCUCGGGCGAGGUCCGCGCUUCGGCAAGGAUGUUGGCGUAAUGGUUGUCAGCGGCCCGUCUUGA
rnacentral:rRNA from 1 species